UGCCGGGCGGAGAGGGCCAGGGGGCCGCCAUGUCACUGCCGGGCUGAGGGCGCGGGGCCGCCAUGUCACUGCCGGGCGGAGAGGGCCAAGGGGCCGCCAUGUCGCCGCCGGGCUGAGGGGGAGCGGAGGCGCCAUGUCGCCACCGAGCUGAGGGGGCUGCAAGUGUUUUGUAGCAGCGCCGUCCUGAAAGAGCUGUAGAGCGAAACGAUCCUCCCCAGCCCAGUAAAAGUUUGGCAGGACGAGUGCGUGGCAGGGCCCUGCUGGUCAGACACCGUGCCUUUAAACCCUGCCCUCGGGAAGAACUGGUUUCCUGUUUCCUGUGCUUGAAUAUAUCCCCACUAGGAAAAGAAGGUUGGGAUUCUUUUAAAACUGUUUCAGAUUGUUCUGCACACAGGACAGCACAGCUGUCAUGGCUCCAGAGCUCUGAUUUAGUCAGAGAUAAGCAGACGUCUGUCCAGGACGUGAUGUUUGAUGCUUCAUAUUGUUUGGAUGUUCCUGAUGGAAGAGGUUAGAAGUGGAGAACUGUUUUGUCUGAGGUUUAAACAUCAAACUCGCUGAUAUGCCUGGGGGCUACAACCAGCCUAGCCUCUUCCAGAUAGUUUUGCACUGGUGUUAUUUGAAGAGAGAAGUUGAGAGAUUUAAUGAAAGACAAUUUGCCUGAAGACAUUUAGAAUGCCGGUCUUCCAUAUAACAAGUGGAAGAGCCUCUUAUGAUCUAUGUUAGUUAGAAGAAAAUUACACCCAAAUUCAUCUUUUUUUUUUUUGUUUUGUUUUCUUUUUUUUGAUAUUACUCAUUUACUGGGCAGUAGAAAUAACAAGAGAUACAAUUAUAGAUCAAGUAUAUAAGUUAUAUCCAAGUCUAAACAGUUUUGUAAGCUUAAUGUACUAGGAGGAUAAUUAUGAAACUACUAAGAACUGUGCAAUUAUAAAAAUACUGUAUAUUUACACAGCACAUUUAAAGUAAUUUAAGCAUUUGGAUUAAUAUGGUUAAGUAUUAUUCUCAUAGUAGAAAAUGGAAAUAAUGAGGAAAUGCAGGCACAAAGAGGAACACCCUACCCAGCUUAACUCUCUGAAUCAAAGGAACUACUAAAUCCUAGGAAAGCAAACCUUUCUCAUUUUGAAGUGUAAAGGUUUCUGCUUAGGAGGACAAACAAAUGAAAAAUAAGACAGAUCAGGCUUUGUGGUAAUUUUACAAAAGAUAUCCUCUGGAGUAUGUAUUAUAUACUGAAAAUCAGCAUUAAAGCAAGACUGAAUUAUAAGAAUCUGCUAUGACAAUUUCAGUCUGUAAAAUGCAUCUCUUUUUUUUUUUCUUGUUUAGCCUCCAGGAUCCUUAGCUUUUAUAAAAACACAAACACAACAUUUAUUUUUGAAAAGUGACAUGAGAAAUGUCUUGCUUUACAUAAAACUUAUUCUUCAGUGAAGGCUGGUAUCAGCUAAAAUCAUAAAAACAGUAGCUAGAGCAUAAAUAUUUAAUAUAAAUCUUUAUGAUUCUAUAUACUAGGAAUGAUGGCAGAAGAAACACAGAUUUGUAGAACAUUAGUUCUCUUCCAAUGGAAUUUUUACAAGAUUCAGCCCAUCAGUACAAUGACAUUUCUGCAAGUAUCAAAAAAUGAAGCAAAAGUUUUACAUUACACUGACAAAACAACCAAGAUAGUCACGUGCUUAACCAAAUCUCUACAAGUUAAUCUUUAGAAGGCCAUCCUUUGUUUGCUUUCCAAAACCUUUUUACAGAAUUAUUACUAAUAACUAAGAAAAUAGUGCAUCUGUGCUACUUCCCAUCAGCAGUUUAUGGACUCACUUAGGAUUUUAUUUAAGUAUCAAGAACCUAAGAUACAAAUCUGAAAAUGACAUAGUUUUGGCUUAAUUAAAUCUUUGAGAAUAAUCCUUCAAUUUCUUCAAGAUACACAGUAACAUUUUGCUCUAGCUGAAUGAGUUUGAAUGAGUGGCAAUUAUUUGUCCAGAAUAAUUGUCUUCCCGUGAACCCGGAGGCCGAGCCCUAGAGUCCUACUUGACACAACAUCACUUUACCACUUUUUUUUUCUUUUUCGGAUAGAUCGGCUUCUUGCACAGGCUCACCAUGCAGGUGCGUGAGCAUUAGGACUGGCACAAGGAAGUGCAUAAUAAAUGGAUGCCCAGGGAGAGAAGAAAAGAAAGGGGUGAAAGUCACUUAGAAUUACACCAGCCUAAGCUGUUGUGGAUCUUCACACUUAAGCUGUAAAUCAUGUGGGGCUUUUUUGUUUACUUUCUGCAAAAUACUUUUCAAAUUUAUACUAUUCACAGAAUGGAUUUUAAAGCCCCUUUUUAUUCUAAGCUUCAAAAUAAUCUUCUUCCCUGAAAAUAAUAAUGAAACACCUUUAAUGGAUCAAGCCUCCCGGAAACAGGCACUUGUCUUCCAAAAUUGGAAGACAUUUACCUCCUCUCCAGAGGUAGAUGGCCAUGAAUAAUUCGCAGUACACUGCUGUCUGACUCUGAAGCUCAUUCUGUUGCUGAGGUACCAUCUGACUAUGACUUCCUUCUUUCAUUUCUGUAUCAGUUUUUGAUAAUUAGUUUAAGAAGCAUAAUGGAGUUGAUUUAAUUAGAAUGACUGCAGAUCAGAGAUACCAUCUGCCUUCUUUGCCACAUAUAUCCAUACAAGUCCUUUCACCAGAAAAUACUGAAUACUUAAUAUUUUCUUAAAAUGGAAGACAUUACUAGAAUACGAUGAUUAGUUUCUAUUUGCAUCUCUUGGAACGAGCUUUCAAACUGAGUCGAAACUAUACUGGUCCUGACAUCUUCAAUUCUAUUAAGUUAUAAUUCAGCUAGAUGUACCAUAUUAAUUUCAACUACAUAAGCAUUAAAUUUGCAUUAAAAUCUUAGCUUUGUAAAGAUGUGCUAUACAGGCCUUCAAAUGGUACAUAACAGGAGCACAUUCCAAUGAGGGAAUGGAAGGCAGCACUGCUAACUUUUAUAAUUCCCAAAAUUGAGGUGUACUCAGUGCCAAUCCAGUCCUCAGUCAGAAGGAAGAGGAAUGACAGCAAGAGUCACAUGACUGGUUCAGUAGCCACAAUUUGCUAUGCUGUAUUACCAUAGGCGGUGACAAUUGUGAAGUUAUGAAUCUCAUGAUCUAAUUUACUAUAUUAACAAUAUGUACUUGGUUCAAGAAGGAUAAAAGAGUAUGAUUUGCAAAGCAAUGCUAUAAGGAAGCCAGAACCAGAAGGAGAAAUAAAGGAAUAUGGGUAUUUACUUAGUAUGGUAACAAAGUUUUUGCAUUUCUGGGCAGCUUUCCUUACCAAAUGAACAAGCUCUGCUAAUAAAGCCCGUUUCAGACUGUA